rnacentral:rRNA from 1 species
UGCAAGUCGAGCGGAAAGGCCCUUCGGGGUACUCGAGCGGCGAACGGGUGAGUAACACGUGAGCAACCUGCCCCAGGCUUUGGGAUAACCCCGGGAAACCGGGGCUAAUACCGAAUAUGACCUCCGACCGCAUGGUCGGUGGUGGAAAGUUUUUCGGCUUGGGAUGGGCUCGCGGCCUAUCAGCUUGUUGGUGGGGUGAUGGCCUACCAAGGCGACGACGGGUAGCCGGCCUGAGAGGGCGACCGGCCACACUGGGACUGAGACACGGCCCAGACUCCUACGGGAGGCAGCAGUGGGGAAUAUUGCACAAUGGGCGGAAGCCUGAUGCAGCGACGCCGCGUGAGGGAUGACGGCCUUCGGGUUGUAAACCUCUUUCAGCAGGGACGAAGCGUAAGUGACGGUACCUGCAGAAGAAGCGCCGGCCAACUACGUGCCAGCAGCCGCGGUAAGACGUAGGGCGCGAGCGUUGUCCGGAUUUAUUGGGCGUAAAGAGCUCGUAGGCGGCUUGUCGCGUCGACCGUGAAAACCUGGGGCUCAACCCCAGGCCUGCGGUCGAUACGGGCAGGCUAGAGUUCGGUAGGGGAGACUGGAAUUCCUGGUGUAGCGGUGAAAUGCGCAGAUAUCAGGAGGAACACCGGUGGCGAAGGCGGGUCUCUGGGCCGAUACUGACGCUGA